ACGUGUUAAGUGAUAAAGGUAUUGUUUACGUUGUGUUAUCGAAGUGUCAAAGUAGCCUCAGUGAACAGGUUAAGAAUUUGGAACAAGUGGAAGUAUUUGUGAAGAUCGAAAUCGCAGAAUAGAAUAGGUAUCCGAGAAAGGAGUAGAUGAGUAGAGUAUCUUCCUGCGUUUGGUCCACAAGGAUGGUCCAAAGUUUACUUUUAGUUUUACCAACUUCCUCACUGCUCCCCGGAUAAAUAAUUGUCUAUGUCAUAAUCGUUAGGAAGUAGAGAAUUACAUCCCGACAAUAUUUUUCGUUCCCAGCAAGAUCUAAAAUUUAUUUGUACCAUCUUCUGUUUUAUGCAUAAGGAGUAUACUCAUAACGACAGAUAUUGCCGUUUCUUCAUGUUGUCUUUCUUCGUCAGAAACAGCUAACUGGUUAAGAUAUUACGAAUCACGGGAAGUCGUCAACUUUGGCGGCCUACAAUAUCUUAUCGUCAGUAAUCAUGCACGCUAUAUUAAAAUUUCAAACAACAUUUGAUAUUCUGGAAUGCAGCAUUUGCUGCUGUACAGGGCAUCCCGUACCACGUGGUACCCACUUCAGGAACAGAUUUCAAGUUAAGACGAGUUGUUACAAAUGUGUGCAGAUAAAGUCAAACGGGAUAUAUGCAUAUAUGAACUUUUUUUAUUGUUUUCAUACGUAGAAUCUGUUCCUGAAGUGGACCCCAGAUGCUACGGGUCACCCUAAAUACUUCAAAAAUUAUAUUUUGACCAACAUUUUAAAAGAAGUUACCCACCGUACGACGUGGCGUGGAAUCCUCGAUCUCUCGCCGAAGAAGAGAUGAAGAAGAGGAUCCCAAGUGGACGAAGAAGAAGAAGAAGAGAAGGAGGAAGAAGAAUAGAGUAGAGCCGGAAACGGCUGGAAGGAAGAAGAGCCGUAGCCGCUCGUUGCCGAUCGCGGAGGGGUGCAGGUAGUUGCACGUGGAGGCGGAGCGACGUCGCGACGCCGCGCGUCGCGUCGAGCCACCGACGCCGGCCGUCCUGCCCCCAAAGCGUCUGGUGGGGAGCCGUGGCGAACGCAGUUCUCGACGGAUCGCCGAGAAGGUUUAACGGUGUUUUCAUUGUCGGCUGCGGGUCGCGGCGAACCAUCCGCGAAGCCACGUGAUCAGCAGCCACUUGGUCGGGUCUCUAUUUAUUCUCGGGUUGCUAUUAUUCUAUCCCCCUCCCACCCUCCGUCCCCCGCACCGUCCGACGAGCACCGUCACGCAUCAGAGUUCGUCACAUUUUUUCUUUUCGACACAGUUCUCUAGCCCCGAACCCACCCCACGCUGAAUGAAAAGCAUGGCUGAUGGUUGAUCCUUCUUCUUCGAUGUCCUCGAGCGGGACACUCCGGUUUCGGUCGUUCCCCGUGCGAUUUCGGCAGUGAUUUGGUGAUUCGUCGUGCUGGUUAGCGAAUGCGGAAAGGUCCGGUCGGGUUCGUUUCCGGUUUUGUUCGCCGCUAGAGGCUCCCGGUUCGCGGACUCUCUCUCUCUCUCGCUCUUUCUUUCUCUUUCUAUUUCUUUCGUUUUCUCUCUCUCUUUCUCUCUUGGACAUGCUACAGAAACGGUCUUGAUCGAGCCACGUGAUUCUUGUGUGAUACUCGUGGACUCCGUCGUGCAGUGUCUAAAGGUGUUCAAGGUGCUUCCGAGACCAAUGACGGGAUAAUGACAUCGUUCGAGGGCUAGGAGAGGUAGAGGAGUUUUCCGGGUCGAGGAGCGCUUAAAUAAGGCAUGCUAUGCGUCAGGAGACCGGAAACCGACGUUCCCGCGGAAGAUGACAGGGUUAAGUAGAUAAAAGGAGUAGCUGGUUCCAUCGACGGACGAUUCAUCGCGUUUCCCAUGCAGUGCACAAUGCUCUGCCAACGCGCCCUUCUCUUUCUCUUUGCUGUCAACGUGCCAAUUGUGACGGGGCUAGGGCCAGACUUCGUUUACCCGUUGGAGAACGUAACGAUCCCGCAGGGUCGAGACGCUACCUUCACCUGCGUGGUGAACAACCUCGGUGGAUACCGGGUGAGUCCUUCCUCCUCCGCGAGCGGAGAUCACUCUGGCGGCGCCAAGGCCCGGGUGGCGUGGAUCAAAGCGGACACCAAGGCGAUCCUGGCGAUCCAGGAGCACGUGAUCACGAACAACGCGCGUUUAUCGGUAACGCACAGCGACUACAACACGUGGACGCUCAGCAUCCACUCCGUACGCCGGGAAGAUCGGGGCAUUUAUAUGUGUCAGGUCAACACGAAUCCUAUGAAGAGUCAGAUUGCGUUCCUGGAAGUGGUGAUACCGCCGGAUAUAAUAUCCGAGGAAACCUCGAACGAUCUGAUGGUACCCGAGGGCGCAUCCGCAAAAUUGGUGUGCAAAGCUCGCGGAUACCCGAAACCUGAGAUCGUUUGGAAACGAGAAGACGGCACUGAAAUUAUUUCCCGGGACGGUCUCUCCGGUGGCAAAACGAAAAUGGCUAACGCCCAAGGGGAAACGCUGACUCUGUCGAAAGUAACCAGAAGCGAGAUGGGCGCCUACCUAUGCAUCGCAAGUAACGGAGUACCACCAUCAGUCAGCAAACGGAUGAUGCUGCACGUGCACUUUCACCCGAUGGUUCAAGUACCGAACCAGCUAGUUGGCGCACCAACUGGAACCAACGUUACGCUGGUCUGCCUCGUGGAAGCUUCCCCGAAGGCCAUUAAUUAUUGGACACGCGAAUCAGGCGAGAUGAUAAUUAGCAACAACAAAUAUCAGAUGACCGAGACGAAGACGUCGGUGUACAGCGUUCAGAUGCGACUGGUGAUCAUGAAUCUGCAGAAACAGGAUCUCGGUGGUUACAAAUGCAACUCGAAGAACUCGAUCGGCGGUGCCGAGGGCAACAUUCGACUUUACGAUAUGGAUCUGCCGAACCACUCGAAGAAAGUCGGCGAUCGACGAGGGGACGAGGAUCCCAGCGACUCGAUCAGUGAUCGCGAUCAUAGACUGAAUCACGUGUACCAAGGUUCCCUUCGGGAAACGGGCUCGACCCUCGAGCCAUUCUUCGACGGCGAUUCCGCAGCCGGGUCCUCCGUCGAAAUUCUACCGCCCGCCACUUGUAUCCUUCUGAUAGCAUCUUGGCACCUGUUUGCUCUCACGUAAACAAUGUUCAACUAUACCGGAGGAGAAGAAGCAACGCUCUCGAUCCAACAACGGCGGCCAAUGAUUUUCCUUUCUUCCUUCGUCGGGCUCGAUAAUCGCGAACUCGCUUUGUUCAUCCAUCGACGCGGAACCGAUUCGUAACAGAGUUUUGUUUCGCCGGUCAUUAACACGUCUGUAGUCUAUCGCGGCAUUCCAUCGAUGAUACUCUACUGCGUCCAUGAAACGUAUUCUCGAAAGUGAAAUUCGAUUCUCUAGGUUCGAGAAGACUUUCGGUUUCUGAUUUUUAUUUUUCGGUGAAGGUUGGCAUUUGUUCCGAUUUAUUUUCUGAUCUCAAGAUUUAAAAGGAACGUGAUAUUUUUAAAAUUCAUCUCCGUGAACAUCAAUAGGCCGUUUUAUAAUUUUUAAUGAAAGAUUUUCGUGGCUUUUAAUCUUUGUACUACAAAUUAUAAUUUGUAUACUACGAAGUAUAAUUCUUGUGACCGAUAAGAUAACUUCGUCAGCGCAUCUUUUAGCAUAAACAAGUUCGUUAAACGAGCACACUGGACCAAGCUGCACCCUUUAAUUGCAAAGAAAAAGAACAAAAGUUGAGAACAUGCUUCCGUGGUGUAAAGUAUGGUCCAGAAAGUAGAUGGAUCCCGCAGGUUUUUCUAAGGCCUACGGUAGUUUAAUAACGAUGAGUUGAAAUUCUCCCGGGGUAAGCAUUUUUCUCGCCAAUUAAGAAGACACGUCUGGUUACAGCAAUUUCAGCAUCCACCUGUUACUUGGCAAUCUACCUGACCUACGUGUAAGUCCGCACUUUAAUGUAGCACCACUUGCACGAUCUUACGACAAAAGAAUGAGACUAGGAGAAACUUUCAGAGCACUUUCGAAUGUACAGGGUAUUCACGGAAUCACGAUACAAAGCUUCGUACACCUGUGUCACUCGUUAACUCUUUAUGUCCUGAAUUAUGUACCUAAUUUUUUGUUUUCAUUGCUGUUUUUGUGACAGAAACUUUUUCAGUAUAGCCCAAAGGCUGUAUACUAUAAGAUAAUUGGGGAAAAUGUCAAACAACCAUGAUUAAGAAUUUACUACUUGGCAUUUGACGUGUCCACCGCCGAGCUGCCACCCCUAAAAUAUCUGAGAAAAAUAAAUGUUUUAAUGAAACCGAAGCUUGGAAAAUUAGAAUUUAUGUUAGGAAUGAUUUAGCAGCCAACAAGACCUAGAGAAAAUUUAUAAGAUAGGGGUAAACGUGGAAGCUUAGUUAUACAAAGUAGAUAAUACAAUGCGGUAUAAUGGAAUAUCAUGAUCAUAUAUAUAGUAUAGUAUAAUAAAUCUGAUAAGAGAGAAAAAAGUGGGAAGAAUGGACAUGAAAAGUUAAUUACACUAUGAGUCGCUGAUAGAUUAGCUAUAACUGACUGUUUGGAGGAAAGUUAUUGACAAUAAUAAAAAGUAUUUUUAUGACACAGCUCGCUUUAAGUUCCUCUCGAAUAAAAGUCGAAUGUUAGAGACAGAGCACAGACAUGACCUUCUUGCACUUGAUAUUUAUUAAAAUAAGCAAUGAAAAACGAGUAGAUUUUUGUUAAAGAAAAUUGUUGGCAUUUCGAUCAUCUCUCGCUGAGGAAUAUUGUGGAGUAUUGAUUAUAACAGAAAACUGUUAUUUUAUCGCAAGAGAAAAAAGAAUAUUGGAAAAAUCGCGGAGAGAAUAAAAGCAAAAAAUAUUUUACUGUAUUCUGUCGGCUACCAACCAGUCGUGUAGACAAACAGAAACGAGAAACAAAUUGAGAAACAGUAUUAAAAUCAGGCGCGUGGAAACGAAGUUUCGUGCUUGUAGAGCUAACGAAAAACAACUAAUGAUUAACUGACGAGCAUUUCAAUUCGCAUUUUCAUAAAGCAAUUUAAGGAAAUAAAAGUGGCACUCAUUUUCUCCGGUGCUGAUUAUUUUGAUUACACAAUGGCGCGACGCUAUGAGAGCUCCUACUUGAUUAUAACAUUAACCAACUAAUUGAUAGUGUAGAUAUCUAUAGAUGUAUAGAUUAAGAAACUGUAAAGGUGGAUAAAAAAAAGCCCAACGAAGAGGGUAACAAAAAUUACAUAACUUUCCAUUUCACUGGACAAAUUUACACACACGAUGUAUACACCAUCUCGUGCAGCUGUGAAACACCCUGUAUGCUUCAGAAUGUUUUGAAAGAAUAAGAUGUUCAAGAAUAUUCCAUUGGGAAAUUAUUGAAGACAUAAAAGUUCCAUUGCAGCUCGGAAACAAAUUACGAAGUUCAAUCGUUGAUUUAAUUUAAAGAUUCCUGAAACACAGUUAGAGCCUCUUAAACGGGAUUCUUCUUAAAAUGUCAUGGAUAGUUAACAAUUUGAAAUAAACAAGAGAUUUCAAUACUUCUUCUGAACACAAUUAAUGGAAUCUUUCAUUAAAUAAGUAUCUUAUUCGGAAGUGCAUAUAUUGUGUGUGAUAGCAAAAUUACUACAAGUUCUACAAUAUACAAUGCACUUUCACAUCAGAUACUCGUUUAAGGAAACAGUCAAUUAACUCUUCUCGAAAAGUAUACAUUUUGCCAUGAUCAUUAGAAUGGUUACUUCAGUUAAGAAAAUUGAAUCAUUUUCUAGGAAAGAGUUAUAAUUUCAACACUUUCCAAGUGAAAAAUGUUUAUUUAGACAUAUUAUUUUAUCCAUUACAAUUUAUGCUCGAAUUAAGAAAAUUCGAUCGUUUCCAAUGAAAGAAACUUUAUAACUUCAACAUUUUCCAAAAGGAAAACGUCUAUUUAGACAUUCUGUCCUUUCUGUUGCAAUCAAUAAAUGAAUAAAGAAAUUCGAUCGUCUCCUAAUCAUCAAUUUCCAAAUGAAAAACGUGAAAUCGGUGAUUCUGACCAGCACAGUAGGUUUAGUGUUAAGAUGCAGAACAGAUUUCUAACAUUAGGGAAGUUCAGAAGCCCAGAGUUACCGCGAGUUACAACAGCCUUUCUCAAGAAACUCGGUUAGCGACUCUGGCUACACAGUGAUUUCCCGAUUUUGCUAUUCGGAGGGGUUAAAUCGGCUGGGACUGCGAACAGAUUCGCUGUUUAUUCAGAUUAAAGCGACCGUCGUGGUAUUUAUAACACGAUAGGAUCCGGUCGGCGCUGAAACCGUGGCACGAACGUGAAAUUAAUAUUCUGACGAAUAUCGGGUAGGGCGUAACAGUAGGGACGACGAUCGUCGUGGAUCUCGUUCAUGGAUUUCGUCAUGUUGAACAGCUCCGCCGUGCGAUUGUCCGUCUAGGCUUAACGAGAUAUCUCGUUAGCACUGCAUGUUCGUUCGCGGUCUCUCUGCCUCUUUCUACCCCCUGUCUCUUCCUCUCUCUUCCUCUCUCUUUCUCUCUUUCUCUCUUUCUCUCUUUCUCUCUUCCUCUCUUUCUCUCUCUCUCCCUCUCUCUCUCCUUCUGACUCUCUCCAAUACUAGCCGUCGAUUGUCUGAUCUGUUACGGUGAUAGAAUUAUUAAAUCCCAGCCUUUGGUUUCUCGGCUUUUUUAUUCUCGUCUCGACUCUACCAGCCUGGUUUUUUCUUCUUCUUUCCCAUUUUCCCAUCGCUCGUUCCACGGAUGUGAUGCAUUAUUACGAUCGCUGAUAAGAGUAAUCGACAACCGAUAUAAAUACCUGGCCGUCGAUAUUCUGGUUGAAAUUUUCAGACGAGAAACUCUAGCAGGUAUAUCUGUCUCCCAUCUAUUAUACAGUUAUAUUUAUUAAAUUGUUAAUGGUUUGAUUUAAGUCACUGAAUUGCGGAUUCUGAUAUGUUUAAGAUUAAAUAUGAAUUUCAUAGGAUUCAGCAGAGUUUCGUUUAAUUUUUCGUUGACCGGGAACCCUGAUUAUAGAUUGAUUUUUGUUUCAAUUUGUCAGAUCUGCCUUUAGAAUUGUAAGUUUAAUAUUCUGCAGUUUACGUGCAUUUUCUGUGUUUCAUGCAUUUUUUAAAUGUGCGAAAGUCGAAAUUAUUUCUGGGAAAGUAGGUAUCAUCGAAGGAAUGAUCGAUUAUUUAAGUAUCGCAAUGAAUUCGGUGCUUUCCCGUUGCAUCAAUUAUGAUACCAUUUGAAAUAUUUAUUUCCCCGCUACUUUGGGACUUCGCAAUAAUUGAUCACCGUUAACGAUUUACACGAACCCGUACAUAUCCCGAAUCAAUUGUAGGUAGUAAUAUAAUUUAUGAAUUCUAAGGAACAUUGAAGAGUACAGGUCUGAAACGAUCGUUAGAUUCGUGACGAAAUGUGGACAAAAAGAUCGGACUGAGUUUAUAGAGAUCGGUACAAGCGUAUGGAAAAAGAGCUUUUACUAUACUAACUAUAAAUGCAAAGCAAAAUUUAUCGCGAAGGACGAGAAAAUUCAAAAGAUGUUCUGUUUCGUUGAUUUUGUUAUAUCAAAAUGAACAUAUCAUCGGAUAUGAUACACAUUGUAUAAUUCUCAUUCAACUUACCUCCAGUCGAAUGCUGAAAAAUUCAUAAUCAGAGUGUCUCCGUGUUAAAUCUGUUAGCUGACUGCCAAAUUUGUUGCUGUUUAUAAAUAUAAUAUUAGGGUAAAAUACGUUGGAUAUGACUCAGAAUGAAAGUAUUUACGAUCCGAAGCACAAAAAUAUUCGCUUAACGAUUGUUAGUGACGUAAUUACGAAUAAACUUAUUGUAUUUAAUAACUAAA